AAUGAACGUUGGCGGCGUGGAUUAGGCAUGCAAGUCGAGCGGAAAGGCCCGCAAGGGCACUCGAGCGGCGUAAGGGACAGUAAUGUGUAGGUACGUACCCCUGGGUCUAGGAUAGCUGCGGGAAACUGCAAUUAAUACUAGAUGAUGUCUCCGGACCAAAGGUGUGAUUCCACCCAGGGGAGCGGCCUACAUCCUAUUAGCUAGUUGGUGAGGUGACGGCUCACCAAGGCGAAGAUGGGUAGCAGGUGUGAGAGCACGACCUGCGUCACUGGGACUGAGACACUGCCCAGACACCUACGGGUGGCUGCAGUCGAGAAUCUUCGGCAAUGGGCGAAAGCCUGACCGAGCGACGCCGCGUGCGGGAUGAAGGCC
rnacentral:rRNA from 1 species